AACGAACGCCGGCGGCAGGCCUAACACAUGCAAGUCGAACGCCCUAGCAAUAGGGAGUGGCAGACGGGUGAGUAACACGUGGGAAUCUUCCCAAUAGUACGGAAUAGCCCAGGGAAACUUGGAGUAAUACCGUAUACGCCCGAAAGGGGAAAGAUUUAUCGCUAUUGGAUGGGCCCGCGUCGGAUUAGCUAGUUGGUGAGGUAACGGCUCACCAAGGCGACGAUCCGUAGCUGGUUUGAGAGAACGACCAGCCACACUGGGACUGAGACACGGCCCAGACUCCUACGGGAGGCAGCAGUGGGGAAUCUUGGACAAUGGGCGCAAGCCUGAUCCAGCCAUGCCGCGUGAGUGACGAAGGUCUUCGGAUUGUAAAGCUCUUUUGGCGGGGACGAUAAUGACGGUACCCGCAGAAUAAGCCCCGGCUAACUCCGUGCCAGCCGCCGCCGUAA
rnacentral:rRNA from 1 species